CCCUUAGAUGUUCUGGGCCGCACGCGCGCUACACUGAUGCAUUCAACGAGCACCCGCUGGGCCGAGAGGUUCGGCUAAUCUUUGAACGUGCAUCGUGCUGGGGAUAGAUGAUUGCAAUUAUUCAUCUUCAACGAGGAAUUCCUAGUAAACGCAAGUCAUCAACUUGCAUUGAUUACGUCCCUGCCCUUUGUACACACCGCCCGUCGCACCUACCGAUUGAAUGGUCCGGUGAAGCCUCCGGAUUGGCGCGCACCUCGGUGCCGCCGAGAAGUUGGCUAAACCUUACCAUUUAGAGGAAGGUGAANUCGUANCA
rnacentral:rRNA from 1 species